rnacentral:rRNA from 1 species
AACCCUACUUGCUAGUUACCAUCAUUAAGUUGGGGACGUCUAGCGAGACUGCCAGUGAUAAACUGGAGGAAGGUGGGGAUGACGUCAAAUCAUCAUGCCCCUUAUGACCUGGGCUACAAACGUGAUACAAUGGCUGGAACAAAGGGAUGCGAAGCAGUGAUGUGGAGCGAAACCCAUAAAAACAGUCUCAGUUCGGAUUGAAGUCUGCAACUCGACUUCAUGAAGUCGGAAUCGCUAGUAAUCGCGGAUCAGAACGCCGCGGUGAAUACGUUCUCGGGGUUU